AUCUUCCUCAUUUUCUCUCUUCAACCCGCGCUCCCUUCUCUCCACACCAUUGCCAAAACUCAAAUUUUCCUUACAACUCCAUUCCUUGUUGCAUGCACCAUUUCUACUCAAAUCAUGAUCAUUUGAACGCUAAGUUGUCAAUGCAAAGCUUCAGUUCUCCCUCCAUGUCCCUAAAAUGGUUAAACCGCCCCAAACUCUCCAUUUAAAAGAUUCUGCAAAUCUGGCCCUUGCAUGAUGAAAUUCUACUUGGAAUUGAGAUACUAGAUGUCCAGAAGUUUAAGAAAAACUGGUUUCGGCUUUCGUUUGUUCUAGUUGAAGAUUUCACUUUUCAUCGAAUCCCGGAACUGUUAUUGACACAUUGCAGCAGAGGAUUUAGAAUCGGAGUUGGAGUUGAAGGAUCGGUAUCGGAAAGGAUAGAAGAAUGAGGCUGGAACUAGAAGCUUGAAGUUGGGAUUAGCGAAUCACUACCAUUUUAUCGGCUAAUUUGAGAUAAACAGGUUGAACAGGACAAGGGUAAGAAGGAAACUGAUGUUCGAGGCUGAGCUUGGAUUAUCUAAAGUUAUUAAUACUAGUUUCCUUCCUUGUUUUUGUAUUAAUUAGUUUAGUUUCCUUUAUGCUUUUCCGCUAUGAUGUAUUCGUUUACUACGUUGUAAUUGUUGUACCUCAUAAGUUGAACGAUUUAUUCUGUAAUUUUAAUGUAUCCAGAUUCAAUUAUAUAUGUCUCGACGAA